CAGUAGCCGCGGUAAUACGGAGGGAGCUAGCGUUGUUCGGAAUUACUGGGCGUAAAGCGCGCGUAGGCGGUUACUCAAGUCAGAGGUGAAAGCCCGGGGCUCAACCCCGGAACUGCCUUUGAAACUAGGUGACUAGAAUCUUGGAGAGGUCAGUGGAAUUCCGAGUGUAGAGGUGAAAUUCGUAGAUAUUCGGAAGAACACCAGUGGCGAAGGCGACUGACUGGACAAGUAUUGACGCUGAGGUGCGAAAGCGUGGGGAGCAAACAGGAUUAGAUACCCCUGUAGUCCCUGUCUUUUAUAC
rnacentral:rRNA from 1 species